rnacentral:pre_miRNA from 11 species
UUCUUUGGUUAUCUAGCUGUAUGAGUAUUAUUCGACAUCAUAAAGCUAGGUUACCGGAGUU